rnacentral:misc_RNA from 1 species
GAUGAAGAACGUAGCGAAAUGCGAUACGUAAUGUGAAUUGCAGAAUUCAGUGAAUCAUCGAAUCUUUGAACGCAUAUUGCGCUCUUUGGUAUUCCGAAGAGCAUGCUUGUUUGAGUAUCAGUAAACACCUCAAAGCUUUUGGAUUUUUUAAUCGAAAAGCUUUGGACUUGAGCAAUCCCAACACCAAUCUUUUUGAGAUCGGUGGCGGGUUGCUUGAAAUGCAGGUGCAGCUGGACAUUCUCCUGGGCUAAAAGCAUAUUCAUUUAGUCCCGUCAAACGGAUUAUUACUUUUGCUGCAGCUAACAUAAAGGGAGUUUGACCGUAUUGGCUGACUGAUGCAGGAUUUCACAAGGGUCGGCAACGAUUCUUGUUAAACUCGAUCUCAAAUCAAGUAAGACUACCCGCUGAACUUAAGCAUAUCAAUAAGCGGAGGA